CAAAUUUCCGGUCCACUGCUCGUCGCCCUCUCAGGCGUUUCUUCUCACUUGGUUCCCCGUCGUUCUCCAUUUACCUAAAAAUCGAUCUCUUCGCCGUCGUCACGCCACUCGGGUUGCCCAACAAGAAGAGCAAUCGGUUUCAAUGUGCUGAAGGCCACAGCUUCAAAGUGGCCUCGAUUCGAAGAGGUUGGCUGGGAUGGUUAGGCGACUGUGCUGAAGGUCAGAGACACCCUCCAGAUCAAACAGGUUUGGAUCAAGGGCUGUCUUCUAUCUUCUUUAGUCAAUUGCCCACAUGUGCCUGCACCAUCGGUUGCUUAUGUUUCACCAUUGACAUCACAUUCAAGCCGAUAUCGACCGGGAACCUCAGCCGAGAGCCCUCUGCCGAACUUUCGAGCAAUCAGACCACAUAGAGCGUGUCUUUCAGCCACGUUCCAAGCAGGUUGCAAGAAGAUUGGCCCCUUGAUCACCGUCGGAGUGGUCUCUGAAGAGACCAGCGCCCAGUCGAUACGGCCGCGAUUGCCUGAAACAGAGCAGGAACAGGGUAUGCAGUAUCAAUCACGUGAAGAAGACGCCGCUUCACGACUGCGAGAGUAAGAGAUGCUCCUUCCGAUCAAUUUCCCCGCUUAGAGAAGAGUGAGUAGAAGAGCUGCAGAAACCAGUGUUGAUAAAAACCUAAGGAAGGAAAGUAGGGGCAAGAAGUAUCCAGUUCGCUAUAGUGAGUACGAUAUUGAAAUUCAUUCAACAAUCAACGCAGAGCAGAGAAAUGGAAACUGGUAAGAGAAAGAAAGAAAAGGGCGUCGGCUUUAGCAGAGAGGACCAGGGUAAUCAUAUGAUGCAUCCGUUGCAAUACAGGGUGCUCUUUCUAUAAACUUACCGCGUAUCCCCUUCACCAUCUCAUUAUUUCUCCUGCACCCCCACUGCCUCCCUUUCUCUCUCACCCGUCUUUAAUCUCUCGCUCUCCCUCUCUCUCUCUAUCUCUCGCUAAUGUAUUUCCCAUUUUGUCGUCCGUCUCUCUCUCUCUCUCGAUCACACGCACACACACACCAUUUCUAUUAUAUCUGUUUCUUUGAUUGGUAUCUGUUUCAUUUCCUCUAUGCCUUUGAUUAGAUAUUCACUGAGUCAGCAGCUUGAUUGGUUCCAUUUGAAAUUGCAAUGACCAGCAUACAUCAUGUCAUGUCGGUUGAUACAUUUCUUAGGCUUGACUUUUAUUUCUUUAACUACCAGCUUGAGAGAAAAUGGAAAAGCAACCUCUUUUUCAUUAUCUUUAGGAAUCCGGUUUGUCCAGAUUCAGUCGUUUAAAUUUUUCAAAUCCAUCCUCCUCUUUCCUAUGCUUGGACACAUUCAUCCCGUCUCUGUCAGAGUUGAAAGAGACCUAGUAAAGAGACAUGAAUUUGUCAAUAGAGUAAAAUGAUAUUGUUAUCUUAGCUAACUUUUGUCUGUUGGAGUUUUUUCAGAAAAUUAACUAUAUUGAUCCAAUUUUCAUGUCAACAUCUUAGAAAAUGAACUCAAAAUUUGUUAAUCAUACUGCUGCAAAUUGGAACCUAUAAACUAAAAAAGUAGGGCCAUUGACUUUUAAAUUUCAGCCAGUCUUCCUUGUAUACUAGAAAUUGAUUUUUAAAUUGAUUAUGUGUCUGAAUUCAAAGGCACCGCCUAGCGGUUGGGCCGCUCCUCCAUUCUGCAAUGGGCCUUCUUUUAUGAUGAAGGAAAUCACAGAUUCUUUUGUCGUGCGGACCAGCUGCCAACCAAAUGCAUCUUUACGACUCCCUGUGCACGAUGAAAGACUCUUGGUUUCAGCCUGAUAGAGGAGCAUGUCACCCAGUGAAUUCUAGGCUUCUGAUGCUAUGAAGCUUUACUUUAGGCCAGUCCAUGUAAACAUGAAUCCUAGCAUUGCCUUCGCUUCACUGCAAUAUGUUCACUACUAGUUGCUACUAAUAGAGGUACAAGUUCUUAGUGUUUUCCUUUCUGUAUCUGCGGUACAUGGGCAGAGUUACAUAUUGGUCAGGCAAGCACAUGCCCCCUUGGCCCUUGACAAGAUGAAAGAUAACUGGACAGGGUCUGGCCAAGGAGAUGUAGGCCUGCCGGCUGGCUUGGCCCGAUAAGAGCCGGGUCCGAGCCGGCCUGAUGCACGAAACCCUAGCCCCGGCUCGGCCUAGUUAAAAUAAAAAAAAUUAAAUAUAAAAAUAAUUUUUUAAUAUAAAAUACAUUUUUAAUAAUAAAAUAUGUAUUAUUAAUAAAAUAAAAAAAUUUAAAAUUUAUCAGGCCGAAUGAGGCCCUGUCGGACUGGUUUUUUUGGGGCUGGGCCGGGUACCGCCCGGUGCCCACCUCCAAGGAGAUGCCCUCCCCUGGAAUGGUUCGGUGUCCUCUUGGACCGUUCCUGUUUUACCAAGCAACACCUUUAUGGAACAUGAACGUACAUUCGACUUCUGAUAACAUUUAUAAGAUACUUGGCUACAAAAUUAUGAAAUGUGAAUUGUCAAAUAUGUUGGUGUAAUUAUGCAGUUAUUUGAAUCCUUACCGUUAAAUAUCCUGGAAUGACCAAAAUGUGGUUGCAACUUUGUUUUGCUUUUGUUUUCUAAUAAUUUCGGUGGUAAUGGAUUCCAUUUUCUUGCAUGUCUUAGAUGUGUUAAGCAUUCUACCUGUCUCUACUAGCUUUGCUUAUGCUACGUUAUUAAUAGAACAUGAUCAUUCCUUAUGACGGUUUCCUCUGAGAGACGUAUUAUGUUUCAGUGCUUCCCCCGAUAAAGACUGGAAAUCUUAUGGAACUGGAUUGUGAUGCAAGAGGCUAUUCUCGUGCUGGAAACGAUACAUCUUGCUUUUGUGUAAUUCUUGCUGGGAGAGACUAAGUCUAGAGCUUAAUAGUGUGCUUUAGUCUUCAAAUAAGCUUCAUCUCUUCAGAUAUGUCUUGCCAUUUACUUGCCUCAUACAAGAAAAGUUGUUUAUCACUUGCAUGUUCUCUUUAUCUAGAAUUAACUGGCUUCAUGACACUAGACCUACUAUCUGAAUUGGUCCGCAAAGGCAUAAAAUUUCUAUUUUCCCUUGACAGAAGUCGGAUGUUUUUAGCCCGUUUUUGUUGUCUUCCUCUCUCAAUUAGUAGGUUUCUGUUGUUUGGAGCUGAAGUAGUCAACUUCGGUCUUUGCUUUCUGCAACCAUUACCUUUAAAUUAUAUAUCGUUCCAUGCUUUUAUCUGGAAGAGUCCAGGGUUUCGAUUAAUUGUAGGCAUGAGAAGUGCAAUGCAGCUCCUCACUUCUGUCUUCCUAGAUGAUAAAGUUUGAUUUGGCACGACUUGGCCUUUAAGUCCUGCACAUGCAUUUGGUUUUGCUUGUUUUUUUUUGUGCACAUCAGUUUCCUGGAAUUCUUAACUAAUCCUUUAAAGUGGCCGUGAAGUAGGACCCUAUUCUUUUAGUUAGUUUGAUGUGUUUAGACAAUUAGAUGAUUUGGGAUUACCCCUGUUCAAUUAGAUGAAAUGUCACUUUUCUUGUAGUGGUAGGUUUCAACUGUGCCUUCAAGGGUCGGCAACCCUGGAAGCGUUGUUUGAAGGAUCAUGGUGAAAAUGAGAUUGCUGACUGAAGAAAUUGCACUAAUAUAAGAGGUUACUGGUAAUUAUAUUUUUGUUAGAUAUGUAUAUGCUCUAUUAAAAGAACUUACACUUGGUGCAUGUAAGCAUGCAUAUUGCACACCCAAGCUUUCGCACCAUCCUUGAAUACAACAACACGGGGACUCCAAUUGUUGCACCAUCGGCAGUGGGUCAAUGCUACACGUAGACUUGGCACCUUGAUUAUCGAUAUGGGCAACAUUCUACAGGAAAGAACGGGGUAGAAGGUCGAUAAUGCGGAAACUUGGUAUCUUAAACGUGGAGUUCACGACCUCACUCGUGCCUAUGAAGAAAAAGUAGAAGCCUAAUGUACCACAUACCGUCAAAGAGGAAGGCUUGGAACUCGUUUGAUUUCGCAGAAUUCUGCAGUCUGGAAAUGCUGAUGUUCCGCGCGUUCACUGAAUCACUGGUGCCUAAUGUCCCAUGCAAACGAUGAAUGUGAAACAAAGCGAUUGCAUGGAAGUUGGAACCUGGUGUGCUCCAGGUAAAUUGAAAUUUGUUUAGCGUGAGAAGCAGCAAAAUAAUGGGAGCUUCAACACGGUCGAUCCCAGCAGCCAGCAGCGGUACAAUUUGUUUGACAUCAACGUGUGGAUAGUUUUUUUUUUUUUUUUUUUUCAAUCGUUCCCAAAGUAUAUUUUGGAAUGCAAGGUUUGGGUCCAGUUGGGCUCCUUCCCAAGUAGCUGGCCUGAGACUAGGCCUGGUGAAGUGUAUAUUCAAGUAGUUUCCAUGGAAGCCAGUUUGUGCAGAAAUUGCUGCUUCUGUAAUUAAGGAGGGGUAGGGACGAGGGCUUGUGCAGAACAGUUUGUUGAGCAAUAACAUUUUGCAUAGGUUUCAAGUUGCUAAGAAUGCAGCUUAAAGAGGUUGGCUGGGAUGGUUAGGCGACUGUGCUGAAGGUCAAGAGUUGUCCUCUAUCUUUUUUGGGUGUGUUGUACGUUGCAACCCUUCUGUUGAGGUUGCUUCUGUUUUGCUUCACUCCUAGCAACAUGUAAAUAAUCAAAUGGCUACGGGACACUAACAUGUA